CUCUAGUUAGCCUAGUGGUUUAGGCUGUGGAUCGCCAAUCCGGAGACGGCGGGUUCGAUUCCCGUUCUGGUCG
rnacentral:tRNA from 1 species